UUCGAGUCGUUGAUUUCACACUGCCGAGAAAAGCCUCUAGAUAGAAAAUAGGUGCCCGUACCGCAAACCGACACAGGUAGUCAAGAUGAGAAUUCUAAGGUGAGCGAGCGAACUCUCGUUAAGGAACUCGGCAAAAUGACCCCGUAACUUCGGGAGAAGGGGUGCUCUUUAGGGUUAACGCCCAGAAGAGCCGCAGUGAAUAGGCCCAAGCGACUGUUUAUCAAAAACACAGGUCUCUGCUAAACCGUAAGGUGAUGUAUAGGGGCUGACGCCUGCCCGGUGCUGGAAGGUUAAGAGGAGUGGUUAGCUUCUGCGAAGCUACGAAUCGAAGCCCCAGUAAACGGCGGCCGUAACUAUAACGGUCCUAAGGUAGCGAAAUUCCUUGUCGGGUAAGUUCCGACCCGCACGAAAGGCGUAACGAUUUGGGCACUGUCUCAACGAGAGACUCGGUGAAAUCAUAGUACCUGUGAAGAUGCAGGUUACCCGCGACAGGACGGAAAGACCCCGUGGAGCUUUACUGUAGCCUGAUAUUGAAAUUCGGCACAGCUUGUACAGGAUAGGUAGGAGCCUUUGAAACGUGAGCGCUAGCUUACGUGGAGGCGCUGGUGGGAUACUACCCUAGCUGUGUUGGCUUUCUAACCCGCACCACUUAUCGUGGUGGGAGACAGUGUCAGGCGGGCAGUUUGACUGGGGCGGUCGCCUCCUAAAAGGUAACGGAGGCGCUCAAAGGUUCCCUCAGAAUGGUUGGAAAUCAUUCAUAGAGUGUAAAGGCAUAAGGGAGCUUGACUGCGAGACCUACAAGUCGAGCAGGGUCGAAAGACGGACUUAGUGAUCCGGUGGUUCCGCAUGGAAGGGCCAUCGCUCAACGGAUAAAAGCUACCCCGGGGAUAACAGGCUUAUCUCCCCCAAGAGUUCACAUCGACGGGGAGGUUUGGCACCUCGAUGUCGGCUCAUCGCAUCCUGGGGCUGUAGUCGGUCCCAAGGGUUGGGCUGUUCGCCCAUUAAAG
rnacentral:rRNA from 1 species